ensembl:lncRNA
CUAUGGAUACCUAUAUUCGGGACUCCCUAGCUGCUGGAUUUAUCUGUCCCUCUUCCUCUCUUCUUCGUGGAGAAAAAAGACUAGAAUCUGCGCCCGUGCAUUGACUAUCGGUGCAUUGACUACUUCCCCCCAGUCAGCACUGACCUCGCCAAGGUUCCGUUCACGUGGUCUCCAGCUGCUGACCGGGCACUCCAGGACCUCAAACAUCGCUUCACCACAGCUCCCAUCCUGGUUCAUCCUGACCCAUCUCAUCAGUUCGUGGUGGAACUGAGGUUUCAGAUAUCGGAGUGGGGGCUGUCCUGUCCCAGCAUUCUGCCCUUGACUUCAAGCUAAAUCCCUAUGCCUUCUCCCAUUGCCUCAACGCCAUGGAAGGGAACUGCGAUGUGGGAAAUCAUGAGCUUCUCGCUGUGAAGUUGGCGUUGGAGGAAUGGAUGCACUGGCUGGAGGGGGCGGAACAUCCGCUCAUUGUGUGGACUGACCACAAGAACCUGGAGUAUCAAAUCAAAUCAAAUCAAAUCUGAAAAAGUAUCUCUGCACUGCCAAGCUCCACAACUCCAGCCAAGCCAGAUGGGCCCUGCUGUUCACACGAAUCAGCUUCUCCCGCUUAUACCGGCCGGGAUCCAAGAAUGUCAAGCUGGAUGCUAGCCCCAUGACUACUACCCUGGAACCCAAGACCAUCCUUCCCACUUCAUGCCUGGCGAUGGCACUCAGCUGGGGAGUAGGGAAGCAGGUCCGUGAGGCACAGCGUUCUCAGCCAAACCCCAGGGGGGGUCUGAUAACCGAAUGUUUGUUCCUGAUGCCGUCCACUCCGCUGUCAUGGAGUGGGCCCACUCCUCCAGGCUUGCCUGCCACCUGGGUGCCUGUCGGACGCUGGCCUUUGUGCGACAAAGCUUUUGGUGGUCAACUAUGGUUCCUGACGUGUCUGCAUUCAUCACCACUUGCACGGUGUGCACAGAACAAGACUCCUCUGCAAGCUCCGGCUGGUCUCCUCCAACCUCUGCCUGUCCCCCACCGUCCCUGGUCUCACAUCUCCCAGGACUUUGUCACAGGUCUUCCCCCAUCUGAUGGCAACAUCGCCAUCCUGACCGUGGUGAAUCGGUUUUCCAAAGCCGCCCACUUCAUUACUCUCCCCAAACUAUCCUCUGCAAAAGAGACGGCCCAGCUCAUGAUGCAGCACAUCUUAAGGAUCCAUGGACUGCCCGUGGACAUGGUCUCCGACCAGGGUCCUCAGUUCUCGUCCAAGUUCUGGAAGGUAUUCUUCACCCUCAUUUUGUCGUUGGCCAGCCUGUCCUCAGGGUUCCACUACCAGUCCAACGGCCAGUCAGAGCGAGCCAACCUGUGCUUCCUGGUCUCCGGCAACCCCACCACCUGGAGCCAGCAGUUUGUGUGCCUAUCUCCAUUUGAGUGUUCCCUGGGGUAUCAGCCCCCACUCUUCCCUGAGCAGGAAGAGGAGGUUGGCAUACCUUCUGCCCAGAUGUUUGUCUGCCGCUGUCGUCGUACCUGGAGGAGAGCCCAGUCAGCCCUCCUCAAGACCAUCUCCAGGUAUCGACGACAAGCAGAUUGCCAUCGGACCCCGGCUCCCCGGUAUCGUCUCAGGCAGAAGGCCCACCCCUCCCUUCCGUGUUGUUGAUGGCCAUCCACACAGUGAGAUGCCUCCUGAGGGUUUGACCACGGGGCAGGGGUUUCCAGUACCUGGUUGACUGGGAGGGUUAUGGCCUGGAGGGGAGAUGCUGGGUCCCCGCUAGAGACAUCCUGGACCCAACCCUCAUCACUGACUUCCACCGCCGGCACCCCGGUCAACCAGGAGGGAAGGAGGAAAACCAAUCGGCAUGGAUGGAGGCAAUGGAACAAACCAACACCUUGACUAAGCAGAGAGAGAGAAAACUGUGUCUCACAGUUACACUGUCCAGGGGCCAAUGGAAAGGGUGGAUAGAAGUGGACAAGUGUGUGUGUGUGCCUGGGUUUCCUGGACACCACCCGCCAUGUGCUUUAACAGGAACUCUGUCUGACUGCCA